UGCGGCGAUGGGUUCUUGCACAUGAAAAAAAAAUACAAAUCAAUUGCAUUACUAUAUAAAAAUUACAAAAUUUAGUUGAAAUUAAACAAACCGUUGAUUAACAUCGGGAAUUGGAGCAAUGAUUCGUUUCCAUCUGACAAUGUUGUACUUCUUUCAGUUCCCCCAUUUCAUCGGAUUGUAGAUUUUGUAGACGAAACGCGCGUCUGGCGUAUAUAUAAAAUUUAGUCCUGGUAUCUAUGAUGAGUUUCUUUACAACCACUGGGUCGAUGCCACUGCUGGUUGAGAUUUAUUUCCCCGAGGGUAUCACAAGCCCAGUAAUCAGCACUUUUUGUGCUGACAUGAAUUAUCAUGGAUAUUGUUAUAUUUAUAAAUUAACUGUUUACAAAAUUUUAAAUUUUUUUUGAAUUCUAAGGCGUUUCUACCACAGGCAUAGAUUACCUUAGCUGUAUUUGGCAACACUUUUAGGAAUUGUGGAUCUCAAUGCUCUUCAACUUCGUACUUUAUUUG
rnacentral:lncRNA from 1 species